rnacentral:rRNA from 1 species
GACGAACGCUGGCGGCGUGCUUAACACAUGCAAGUCGAACGGCAAGGCCCUGCCUUUGUGGGGUGCUCGAGUGGCGAACGGGUGAGUAACACGUGAGUAACCUUCCCUUGACUUUGGGUUAACUUCAGGAAACUGGGGCUAAUACCGGAUAGGAGCUCCUGCUGCAUGGUGGGGGUUGGAAAGUUUCGGCGGUUGGGGAUGGACUCGCGGCUUAUCAGCUUGUUGGUGGGGUAGUGGCUUACCAAGGCUUUGACGGGUAGCCGGCCUGAGAGGGUGACCAGCGACAAUGGGACUGAGAUACGGCGCAGACUCCUACGUGAGGCAGCAGUGGGGAAUAUUGCACAAUAAGCGGAAGCCUGAUGCAGAGACGCCGGGUGCGGGAUGACGGCCUUCGGGUUGUGAACCGCUUUCGCCUGUGACGAAGCGUGAGUGACGGUAAUGGAUAAAGAAGCACCGGCUAACUACGUG